rnacentral:rRNA from 1 species
UGGGGAAUCUUCGGCAAUGGACGAAAGUCUGACCGAGCAACGCCGCGUGUGUGAAGAAGGUUUUCGGAUCGUAAAACUCUGUUGUUAGAGAAGAACAAGGACGUUAGUAACUGAACGUCCCCUGACGGUAUCUAACCAGAAAGCCACGGCUAACUACGUGCCAGCAGCCGCGGUAAUACGUAGGUGGCAAGCGUUGUCCGGAUUUAUUGGGCGUAAAGCGAGCGCAGGCGGUUUCUUAAGUCUGAUGUGAAAGCCCCCGGCUCAACCGGGGAGGGUCAUUGGAAACUGGGAGACUUGAGUGCAGAAGAGGAGAGUGGAAUUCCAUGUGUAGCGGUGAAAUGCGUAGAUAUAUGGAGGAACACCAGUGGCGAAGGCGGCUCUCUGGUCUGUAACUGACGCUGAGGCUCGAAAGCGUGGGGAGCAAACAGG